AGUCGGCCAGGUGAUCGCGGCUGUACAGACGAAAGGGUACAGACGAGGAAAGUCCGGGCUUCACAGGGCAGGAUGCCGGAUAACGUCCGGUGGAGGUGACUCCCAGACCAGUGCAACAGAAAUAAACCGCCUUCCUUCGGAAGGUAAGGGUGGAAAGGCAGUGUAAGAGACUACCGCCUGGCUGGUAACAGGCAGGGCACAUGUAAACUCCAUUCGAAGCAAGACCGAGAAGAAAGCGAUACGGCUGCCCGUCGUGCUUUCAGGUGGGUCGCUUGAGCCUUCCGGCAACGGUUGGCCUAGAUAGAUGAUCAUCCAACGACAUAACCCGGCUUAUCGACCGGCUUG
rnacentral:RNase_P_RNA from 1 species